rnacentral:rRNA from 1 species
UACGAAGGGGGCUAGCGUUGCUCGGAAUCACUGGGCGUAAAGCGCACGUAGGCGGGUCUUUAAGUCAGGGGUGAAAUCCCGGAGCUCAACUCCGGAACUGCCUUUGAUACUGGAGAUCUUGAGUCCGGGAGAGGUGAGUGGAACUCCGAGUGUAGAGGUGAAAUUCGUAGAUAUUCGGAAGAACACCAGUGGCGAAGGCGGCUCACUGGCCCGGUACUGACGCUGAUGCGCGAAAGCCAGGGGAGCGAACGGG